GAAGUGUUAUUCUCAUUUUUUCAGAAGUAUCUUUAAUACAUAGCCGUUUGGCUAAUAUAUGCAAAUACAAAUCAACUAGCCGUUGGGCCGUUGAUGUAGACAGCAAAAAGAAUAAAUAAAAUACUUUGAAAAGUAAAACCUCGCCCAAGCCCAUGACUUGUCUCCAAGUAGAAGACCCGAACUAGGGCACCUUGAGAAGGAUCGAGAAGAUCAAACCAGGGAGAAACCAGGCUUCAAUCUUCAACUCUGUCACAAGGUAGGAGACUAAUGGGUUGCAAUAAACUUGCUGUUGCCUUGUUAGCUCUUAGUUUAGAAGCUGUAGAGAUGGAAAUUGACACAUUGUUAUUGACACAUCAAUGUGACUUGUCUACGGACUUCUCAAUUCUCAUGCAUUUUACAAGAAAACAAGGUCUUGUUAUUAUCACCCUGUUUCUUCUUCUAUCUGCUUGUUCUUUCUUAUUGUUUUUAUUCUUAUUCUUAUUCUUUUUUUUAUAAUCUCUUCUUACAAAAAUACAAAAGCUUAAGUGAUCUUUUCAUUUCAUAAACUUUGGUCAACAAUGCCGGCUAUUGGGUAGUCAGACCAAAAUAUGCUCUUAUCGAAAAGUAGUUAUGGGAAAUGGAUAAAGAAGAAUUCUCAUUUGUGUUGGACAUAAGAAGACCUACCAAUGCAACAGUGAACAAGAAGCAGCAGGUUCCUUGAGCUUCAACAUUGACGGAUUUAAUCCAAAUUAUCCGCAAAUUAUUACAGAGGGAGACGCAAGCGUGGUGGUCGAUACGGUGCAACUCACCUUGAACUUGCGGGACAAGGGAAAGGAAGGGAG